AACAAAACGAAACAAGAUUUGAGAAACAAAGAAAAAAGAAGGUAACAACAUCUUCAGUUUUGUUUGAUCUAUGCGACAGUAAAGAAGUGUUUUUUAAGAAUUAAUGUUAUUAUUUAUAUAAAGUGAUUUGAAUUGUAUUAAUUGUUUUUUGUGUGAUAAUUUCCAACGGAAGAAUUAAUAGCAUUACUAUACUACAGGCAAGCGGGGAAAGCUGUACAAUAAAAUACACAACAUCAAACGAUAUAACAAAAUAUUGAAAGACUUUGAAAAAGAAAAUUCAAUAGAUGAAAGUGAAGAACACGAUCCGGAAUCCGAUUGGGAACAGUGUUUACACCUUUUAAAAAUUGGAAACUUAUCUCCGGAGGAAUUUGACCUACACUGGAGAAAAUGUGCUUACUACAGAUUUAAACAAAUGAAAGAGAAGAAAAGUACAUUGGAAAUAUUGAACGAGUGGCCGGAAUAUAAAAAGUCAUCAGGAUUUCAAUUAAUAUCAAUAGACUUUCAACUAAAGUUUCAAAGGCUAAGGAAUUAAAAAC